ensembl:lncRNA
CUCCUCCAUCCGUACGCUGGUAGGAUCCGUAAUGGUACACGCAGCAUCCUGCAGCACAAUGUGGUCUUUAAAUCCGUCGCGUACCGGGAUGUUUUGAACAGGACUGAACUGUCACCGGACCGGGAUCGUCGGACGGGCAGCUGGCACGGAAUGGAAGAUACAAAGACCUUCACUCAGUUCCUAGUAACUGAAUCAUGCUGAAUGUGUACUGAAGAUGCCAUAUUUGUUUCACAUUUAAACGGAAGUGACUCAUAGCUGUUCAAAACAUUCAGUGAGUGUACAGAAGAGCUGUCUGUGAAUCCUCUUCUUAUCACUGUAUUGAUUUUCUUGGAUGUAUGAUUAUCAAGUGAUUUAAAAAUUAUUUAUGCUACAUUAUAGGUUCUUCAGUGUACUGGGAGCAAAGCACUCCUAGGUUCUUUAAAGCAAGACAGUGCAAGGUGGAAUAGCUGUGGAUUGGAGACAGCAAGCAUGAGGCACAGAACGGAAGAGAGAGGAAUGUUAGGGAGCACUGGACUUUAGUUCAGGGAAAAUAAAAAAAGAGCUGGCUCUUGAGAAGAGUGGGUU